UAUCAUCCACAGCUACUAGUAUACAGUACAUUAAAACUAGAAGUCAAUUUCUACCCAAAAGAAAGUGUAAUAACGCUCACAGUUAUAUCUCUUUUUCUUUUUCUCCCCUCUCUUUCAACGCGUAUGAAUCCAAUGCUCAUACGUUUUUGUCUGAUUAACGCAUAACUCACAAUCAAAAUCAAAAUGCAAAAAAAAACACCAAUUUUUGCAUAGUGGUGUGAGACAGGUGGUGGGGGUGGUGUCAGUGAUGAUGAUAUCUAUAUGUUGAUGUUGAAAAUCUGAUUUAGGAAAAAGAUUGAUGAAAAAUAAGACCAAGAAAAGAAACA
rnacentral:lncRNA from 1 species